CAACUUCAAGAUAAGAUUUCCCACCGCAAGGGUAAGACCCCAGAAAGACUAUCUGGUUGAUAGGUCGAAGGUGUAAGUGCAGCAAUGUAUUUAGCUUAUCGAUACUAAUAGGUCGAGGACUUGACCAAUAUUUAUU
rnacentral:rRNA from 1 species